rnacentral:sRNA from 1 species
UGUCGUUUUAUUUUUGGUCAGAAGCAAAGAGGAUUAAUAAAAUUUGAUGUUGUUUUCAGCGCUGUUGUUAUUGUUGUGUUAUUUUAAAACGAAUUACGUGAGUGUUAAACUUAAGUAGGCAAAAAAAGAAGAGAAAAGAAAGAAACACCAAAAAAAAAACAUUGCAAAAUAUCUACCGAUAACGAAAAAAAGUUUCUAAAUUGCACAACAACUUCAAAAAGAAAAGGAAAAGAAAAUAAAAUCUCCUCUAUGUUAUUAAUUCAAUUUAAACAGUUUUAUGGUCAAAAAAUUACUCCGCUGCAUUUUUGUGCCGACUCUGUAACAACUCCCCAUUGAAAAGCAGUUCAUAAACUAGUUUUCUCCACAUUUGGCAAAAAGGAAUUUCAUUGGCCGCCACACAUUUUUGGAUUGUCUUGUGCAUUUCUUGCUACAGAUUUUAAAUGAUUGUGUCCCCCCAAAAGGAAAGCAGCGCCAAAAGAGAGCCAAAAAAUUCUCAUCAUCACGUCUAGAUAAAAAUAAAAUCUUUGGAGAAAUAUUUGUUAUGAAGACUCUAUAACAAUAGUCGAGAUUGACGGGCAUAAGGAACUGGUAAAGGAAAUUCCUGAAAAUUACUUAGAAACGAAAAAAAUUCCACAGAAUCAGUCAUCAAUUGGAAAACUUCCCACAAUUAAAUCAAAAAUAUCAAAGAAAAGGUAAAAUCAAGGGAGAAAGUGGAAGGACCUAGCAAAGGACAAAAACAAUUCCACUUUGAUUAAAUAAAAUUGAAAUUUAAGGGAAAAUUCAAUUUAAUUGUAAUUGGGGAGCAACAAAAAAAGCAAAAAAAAAAGGUAAGACGACAUCGAUGAAGAACUUUUCAUUUGUUGUUUGCAGACAACACACUCAGACAUACAACAUACAUGUAUGUGUACUUACAAACACAUAUGUUACCCCAGCAACAACAUCAUAACAGACACAAUACUCAUAUCACAAGCCAUCAUCCAUCCAUCCAUCCAUCAUUCGUUUGCUGUUGUUUCCAUACACGUUUGUGUGUGUGUGUCCGUAUAUGUGUGUGUGACGGGAUGCCUGUGUUUGUGUGUGUUUGCGGAGUAAUUUUUACGGUUCGUCAACUUGUUUAUUAGCAAACAUGUGUAUCUUCUUUCCGAAAACCAUUUAAGGACUAAAUUCCGUUUCUGGUCGAUUGAAUUUUGCAGUUCCAUCGAUAUUUGUGAACAACAACAACAAACAAACAAAAAUUUAAGAUGCCAUUCCAAGACGACGACAAUGACACCGUAAUGUGGAUUACAAUUUUGCGAUGUGUUGUGUUUGAUGUUGCCAAGCAUGGUCUGAUGUUUGAUUGUGUUGGACAUUUGGUCGAUUUAUUGGAAUGCAUGGAUGCAUAAGCUACAGUUCCCCAAGUGUUUGGUAAAAAAUAAUUGUACUCCUAGCCCCAAGACUAGAGGGGGUGUAGAUCAGUGAUGACCAAAUAAUAACACUGCUUUUUACGCAUCUAGCAGCUGAAAGAAAAUAACCACCAUAUGUAGGAUUCACAAACUCUACUUACACCAAAAAAACUAUUUAUGAACGUGGCAUCAAAAUAUGAAAAAUUAAAAAAAAUCAAACGCCUCACGCGGCCACCUUGGUUACCAAUGAAGGUCCAUCUCUCCA